GCCUACAUGGUCUAGUGGUAAGACACCACUCUUCAAUGAAAUAUUGCGAUGCAAGUCUCGUGGAUACGACGGUUCGAAUCCCUCCAUAGGCA